rnacentral:misc_RNA from 1 species
GAUGAAGAACGUAGCGAAAUGCGAUAAGUAAUGCGAAUUGCAGAAUUCCAGUGAAUCAUCGAAUCUUUGAACGCACAUUGCGCCCCCUGGUAUUCCGGGGGGCAUGCCUGUUCGAGCGUCAUUUCACCACUCAAGCCUCGCUUGGUAUUGGGCAACGCGGUCCGCCGCGUGCCUCAAAUCGACCGGCUGGGUCUUCUGUCCCCUAAGCGUUGUGGAAACUAUUCGCUAAAGGGUGUUCGGGAGGCUACGCCGUAAAACAACCCCAUUUCUAAGGUUGACCUCGGAUCAGGUAGGGAUACCCGCUGAACUUAAGCAUAUCAAUAAGCGGAGGA